rnacentral:pre_miRNA from 1 species
UUUCUACUCCCUUCGUCCGAAAAUACUUGUCAUCAAAAUGGAUAAAAAGAGAUGUAUCUAAAACUAAAAUACGUCUAGAUACAUUUCCUUUUAUCCAUUUUGAUGACAAGUAUUUCCGGA